AUUGAACGCUGGCGGCAGGCCUAACACAUGCAAGUCGAGCGGAUGAAGGGAGCUUGCUCCUGGAUUCAGCGGCGGACGGGUGAGUAAUGCCUAGGAAUCUGCCUGGUAGUGGGGGAUAACGUCCGGAAACGGGCGCUAAUACCGCAUACGUCCUGAGGGAGAAAGUGGGGGAUCUUCGGACCUCACGCUAUCAGAUGAGCCUAGGUCGGAUUAGCUAGUUGGUGGGGUAAAGGCCUACCAAGGCGACGAUCCGUAACUGGUCUGAGAGGAUGAUCAGUCACACUGGAACUGAGACAAGGUCAAGACUCCUACGGGAGGCAGCAGUGGGGAAUAUUGGACAAUGGGCGAAAGCCUGAUCCAGCCAUGCCGCGUGUGUGAAGAAGGUCUUCGGAUUGUAAAGCACUUUAAGUUGGGAGGAAAGGGAGUAAGUUAAUACCUUGCUGUAUUGACGUUACCAACAGAAUAAGCACCGGCUAACUUCGUG
rnacentral:rRNA from 1 species